rnacentral:rRNA from 1 species
ACGCACGCUGGCGGCAUGCCUCACCCCUGCCAGUCGCACGAGACCUUCGGGUCUAGUGGCGCACGGGUGUGUAACGCGUGGGAACCUGCCCUUAGGUUCGGAAUAACUCCCCGAAAGGGGUGCUAAUACCGGAUAAUGUCUUCGGACCAAAGAUUUAUCGCCUUUGGAUGGGCCCGCGUUGGAUUAGCUAGUUGGUAGGGUAAAAGCCUACCAAGGCGACGAUCCAUAGCUGGUCUGAGAGGAUGAUCAGCCACACUGGGACUGAGACACGGCCCAGACUCCUACGGGAGGCAGCAGUGGGGAAUAUUGGACAAUGGGCGAAAGCCUGAUCCAGCAAUGCCGCGUGAGUGAUGAAGGCCUUAGGGUUGUAAAGCUCUUUUACCCGGGAUGAUAAUGACAGUACCGGGAGAAUAAGCUCCGGCUAACUCCGUG